UACGAAGGGGGCUAGCGUUGCUCGGAAUGACUGGGCGUAAAGGGCGCGUAGGCGGAUGGCACAGUCAGAUGUGAAAUUCCCGGGCUUAACCUGGGGGCUGCAUUUGAUACGUGUGAUCUAGAGUGAGGAAGAGGGUCGUGGAAUUCCCAGUGUAGAGGUGAAAUUCGUAGAUAUUCGGAAGAACACCAGUGGCGAAGGCGGCUCACUGGCCCGUUACCGACGCUCAGGCGCGACAGCGUGGGGAGCAAACAGG
rnacentral:rRNA from 1 species